GCCAUAGUGGCAUAGUGGUUUGAGUGAUGGACUAUGACUGGAGACCAGGGUUUGAUUCCCAGCUUGGUCA